rnacentral:lncRNA from 1 species
GAGUCCUGGGUCCUGCCAUUUUUUAGCUCUGUGAUCCUGGGGAAGUGUCUUAGACCUGAAUGUUUGUUUCCUUAUCUCUGACCUAUCUCAUGCUGGACUCAUGGACCCAGUUGCCUAUUCAGCAUCUCUUCUUAGACAUCUAAUAGGCAAAUCAGACUUAACGUGUCUGAUCUUCCCCCUUCCAAAUCUGCUCUUCCUACUCUCUGAAAAUGUCAACUCCAUCGAUAGUUUGCUCAGGCUAAAGUCCUCAGUGUCAUCCUUGACUCUGCCCCUUUUCUCAUGCUCUAAUUUCAUGCUACCUGAUCAUCCUAUUGACAUUAUUUACAAAAAUGUAAGUUACUUGUUCCUACUUCUGCUGCUACAGUCUGGGUCAAGCCACCGUCACCCCUUAGCUGGUAAUUUCCAUAACCUCCCAACUGGUUUCCACAUUUCCCUUCCUGUCUCCAGAAUGGCUCAUUCAACAUAAGUCAGUUUACAUCUUCCCCCUUCAAAACCUUCCGAUGGCCUUCCAUCUUACUUAGAGUAAACGCCAAGGCUCUACACAGUCUGAACCCCUCCCCUGAUAUGACUGUGAUUGUAGUUCAGAACUUCAUUCCUUUUUAUGACUGAAUAAUAUUCCACUGUAUGUGUACACCACAUUUUGCUUAUGCAUUCACCUGUUGCUGAGCAUUUGGUUGUUUCCCCCUUUUGGCUAUUGUGAAUAUUACUGCAAUGAACAUUGGCAUAGAAGUAUCUGAAUCCUUGUUUUCAGUUCUUUUUGGGUAUAUACCUAGGAGUGGAAUUGCUGGGUCAUAUAGUAAUUCUAUGUUUAGUUUUUGGGUUUGCAACCAACAAAUUGUUUUCCAGAGUCUGUACCAUUUUAUAUUUCUAUCAGAAAUGCACAAGAAUUCUAAUUUCUCCAAAACCCCACUAAUGCUUGUUACUUACCAUUUAUUAUUACUAUCACUACCACUACCACUGCUACUACUACUGCUACUACUGCUACUGCCAUCUUUGUAGAAAUGAAGUGAUAUCUCAUUGUGGUUUUGAUACUCAUUUCCCUAAUGACUAAUGAUAUUGAACAUUUUUUUCAUGUGCUUAUUGGCCAUUUGUAUAUAUUUCUUGGAGAAGUGUCUAUUUAAGUCCUUUUUCCAUUUUUGAAACUGGGUCUUUUGUUGUUGAGUGUAGGAAUUCUUUAUAUGUUCUGGAUAUUUAGCCCUUAUCAAAUGACUGGCAAAUGAUCUCUCUCAUUCUGUAGGUUGUCUUUUCAAUUUCUUGAUAAUGCCUUUUGAUGCACAAAAUUUUUUAUUUUGAUGAAAUCCAAUUUAACUAUAUUUUUCUUUAGUUGUUUGUGUUUUGGGUGUCAAAUCUAUGACUCCAAUGCCAAGUGUAAGGUUAUAAAGACUUUCUCCUAUAUUUUUCUAGGAUGUUUAUGGCUUAAUUUUUAUAUUUAAGUAACAAAUCCAUUUUGAGUUAAUAUUUGUAUUUGCUGUGAGGUAGGGGUCCACCUUCAUUAUUUUGCAUGUGGAAACCCAGUUGUCCUAGAACCAUAUGGUGAAAAGGCUCUUCCCCGUUGAAUGUACUUGGCACCCUUGUCUAAAAUCAGUUGGCAGUGGAUAUAGGCAUUUAUUUCUGGACUUUCAAUUCUACUCCAGUGGUCUCUGUGUCUCUCUUUAUCCCAGUACCACACUGUUUUGAUUACUCUUUUGUAGUAAGUUUUGACACUGAAGAAAUAUGAGCUCUCUGACUUUGUUAAUAUUUAUCAAGAUUGUUUUGGCUAUUCAGAAUCCCCUGUAAUUUCACACGAAUUUGAUGAUUGGCUUUUGUUUUUCUGCAAAGAAAAAAAAAGGCUAUUGGAGUUUUGUCUUUGAAUCUGUAGAUCACUUUGAGUAGCAUAGGCAUGUUAAUAUUGUCUUCCUAUCCAUGAAUAUGGGAUGUGUUUCUGUUUAUUUGGGUCUUCUUCACUUUCCUUCAGCAAUAUUUUGUGGUUUUCUGUGUGUAUGUCUUUUACAUCCUUGGUUGAAUUUAUUUCUAAAUAUUUUCUUCUUUCAGAGCCUAUUGUGAAUGAUACUGUUUUCUUAAUUUCCCUUUGUACAUUGAAGGCAUAUGUAUUAACACAACUGGUCUUUUGGUUUCAAUCAUAUACCCUACAGCUCUACUGAAUUUUAGUUCUAGUAGCUUUCUUGUUGAUCAUUUGGGAUUUUCUACAUAUAGGGUCAUGUCAUUUAUGAAUAGAGAGAGUUUUACUUCGUGAUUUCCAACUUGGAUAUCUUCAAUUCAUUUUUCUUGUCUAAUUGCUCUAGUAGUACAAUGUUGAAUGGCAGUGGUGAAAGUAGGACACCAGUUAUCCCAACACCUGUCUUUUGAGUUGUUUUGCUGCUUGCUGCUCUUUGCCUUAGUUUCAGUGAAUUUUGGGGGAUGUAUGGAACUAUUACAUAUUUCUCUUACUUAUGUUGAGUACAGAAAUGCACUCAAGUCUCUUUUAGCAGAAGCUACUUGUUUUGUAGUGAAAAGACCUUUUACAUUUUCUAGUCUGCUAUUGUUGGAAGCAACACAAGAUGACACUUUGAAAAACUUGGAUCUAGAAAGUGGUAGAUUAUUUCUCAUGGCCCAGCUUGAUGACCCUCUCUCCAUGUCACCCAGGAUUAUAAAAACAAGCUGUCUUAUCACCAUAGAAGCUGAGUCACAAAGAAAAUGUGGAAGUUAGUCGGACUUAUAAGUCAGAGAUGUCUGUUUGUUGGAGGGUCAUCUGAGGAAACUGACUUGAAGAAUGAGAGAUAUAUAGAUCUUGUAUCCCAUAUAGUAAACAAGUUUGUCCCCCCUCUCAGCCAGUGUCUACUCUAGUGUCCUAUCAUGCAACACCUUGCAAAUGUGUAAUCAGUUGCUAUGGAAUUUACCCUUGUGAAAAGGAAUCAUAUUUUAAGUUUAAACUGUGCAUCUGUGUGUGCAUGUACUUGGGGGGGUGGGGUGAGAUAUGGGGGAGACAUAUUUUGGCUCUUCCCUGCUUUUCUCCUGUCUGUUCUUUCAUGGAGCGUCCAGCACCACCCCUCACUCUCUGGAUCUCUGGGUGCAUCCCACCCUUAGUUCCUAGAAACCCAGUUGUGUGGAGGUGGCUAUGCUUACACCUGCCCAAUGAGCUGUUGAGCUCUGUGACCUCCUGCUAAUGCCUGGGGGUGACGUUGCCCAGUUACAGUUGCUGGGGAACCUCAAGUUAGAAUUUCUUCACUGUAGGGUGUGUAAGGUUGCAGUCACUCCUGGGAAUUAAUGUUGCUUUUCCUCGGCUAAAUGUGAAACCCAUAUAAAUGAGUGUCUGCUUCUGGGAUGAUCGAAGUUAGAGCAUUCCUAUUCAGAUACUGUCAAUCACUCCUUCACUCUCUUCUGAGUGAGCUCAGGCUACAGAACCCAAGUGGGAGUCAUGGAGUAAGUAAAGAGAAAUGAUUGGCAGCCCUCUGAGAGGCCCCUGUCAGAUGGCAGAUACAUCCAGAGAGGCCUUCCUGGCCGAUGGUGGAAAUAGUCCUCAUUCACAAGCCGAGAGAAGUAUGUAAUCGCUAGCCUAAGGAAGCUCCUGGUGUGAUGGGGAAGGUCUAGGUCCUCCUUGAAGCAAGCUCCUAAUCUGAUGGGUGAGACCUUGUCUCUGCCCUGAAGAACCUCUGGUCUGAAGGGGAAGACACCCGCCAUUGGGAGGUGGAAAAUGUAAGGGAACCAUCUUGUCCUCAGCUGUCCUCUUGGAUAGGAUCAGGCUGGUUGGAGGUGACAGUUGAAAAGAGUCUCAAGCACACAUGCUGACUGGUUUUCUUAUAAAUAAAGGAUAUGAACCCUCACUGUCCCUAUGAAAUCCUGGCCACUCCUUCUCUGAGGUGAGGACCUCAAAACUAUUCUGAGUUUUUUCCAUUCUUGACCAGUCCUGUAACCCCUCCCUUGACUCACCUAUUGAAUUUGAAACAUAGAAAUUUGAGCACUCAGCAUUUAGAUUCUACAAUUGUCAACAUCUUCUGUAUCUCUUUCAUCAAAUACCUAUCUGUAUAUCUAGCCUUUAAUACAUCUUAUUUUUGGCAUAUUUUAAAGCAAGAUGCAGGAGUUCGCGUCGUGGCGCAGUGGUUAACGAAUCCGACUAGGAACCAUGAGGUUGCGGGUUCGGUCCCUGCCCUUGCUCAGUGGGUUAAGGAUCCGGCGUUGCCGUGAGCUGUGGUGUAGGUUGCAGACGUGGCUCGGAUCCCGCGUUGCUGUGGUUCUGGCGUAGGCCAGUGGCUACAGCUCUGAUUCGACCCCUAGCCUGGGAAUCUCCACAUGCCGUUGGAGUGGCCCAAAGAAAUAGCAAAAAGACAAAAUAAAUAAAUAAAUAAAUAAAUAAAUAAAUAAAUAAAUAAGUAAAGCAAGAUGCAGAACAUCAGUAAACUUAACUCCACGCAUAUCAUUAAGUAAAAUUCAGUAUUUGCUUGUGGUUUUUUCGUGUGCAUGCAUAUGGGGAGGAGUGUUAAAUUUAUAUAAAUGAAAUGGUGAAAUGCACAAAUUAUAAGUGUAUUCUUUGAGGGGAUUUGAUAAAUGCUUACAAAUGUAUAACCCAAGUCCCUAUCAAGCUAUGGAACACUUCCAUCACCCAGGAAGUCUGUUCAUGCCCCUUUCCGGACAAUCACUACUCUCAUCUUGCAGAAGCAAUCCAUUUUC